AGGUUAAUUAAUUAUCUUGAGAAAACCCACUUCCCACCUCCAUCCGCCGGAGGCUUCUUCCCCAAAACCUUUUUUCCCUAUACUCCAUCUCCAUCGACGACGGCGAGAGAUCCCCGCAUCGCUCUGCGACACCUUCGCAUUUCCCUCCCUCGCCCAUCUUGAUCUCGUGUUUAGCUCCCUCUUCGGCUCCAUCCCUUCCGCGUUCACCGCCGCUUGCUGGAAUAUUUCCUUCCUCGUCGUCCGCCGCAAUUGUCCGCCACAGUCGCUUCCGUUUUGGCAUGGGAAGAUAAGAACCGGCUUGCUCCAUUCCCAUCAUCGCAAAAUGUAAACAAAUUCAGAUCACUAACCAAAGCUUCUCCCCCCGUCUUAUUCUUUUUCAUGGUAUCGAACUUCACGGGCUCCGACUGCAAAUUCCUCCAUUUCCUUAUCAUUCUACUAGGCAAGAACAACACCUUCAUGUCAACUAUUUGGCAAAAGGUUUGUGUUGCUACCUUUGACUUGAGAUCGGCUUAAUUGCAUCUUUCUCAGUACAUUGAGACAAGUUGUUCAUACCAAAAUACAAGAACUCUGCUCCAUUUUUAUGAUCCUAUGGUAACAAUUAUUUCCCCAAUCAAAUUGGCACCGGAUGGCAUGAUUGGAGUGUCCAAGCUGAUUGAUAAGCAUUAUUCAUCUAAUUUGAUUUUCAAGGAGGGUUUCGCCUUCCAAUUUGAGUUUAUUUUGCAUAAUUUGAAUCAAACUGAUGCGGAAUUUGAUUGAUGGUUCUUGAGCCGAAAAUGGAAUGCUAUGAUGGUGAGUUAUUUUGGCAGAUCUUGUAAGAUCAUAGCAAUGCUUUGUUGUUUUUCUUGAACAUUGUAUGUUGCUUUUUUUUUUUAGUCCCAUGUUUCGUACUAGCUGAGAUCUUAAUAAUGAGAAAAGCUUUAUAGGUGAUCUUGGCUUGGGUUGCUUCACUAUUUAGUGUUUGCAUUUAUGUUCUAAUACUGCUCCUAAUUGCAAAAGUUUGAUGUUUUUAACCCCAGUAGUUAACAUGUGGAUUUCUUAAGAUGAUAAUAACAUAACAUCUAUCAGAAAUUUGUUUAGUGAACACCUUCAGGUUAUUCUGGGAGACAAUUGAUUUGUGCGCAGAUAUCAAUGCUGUGACGAAUCGUCGGCAUGCUUGUUUUGUUGAGUGAUUUGCGCAAUCCGUGAUAUCGUCGUCAUGCUUGUUCUAUCAUUAAGAAAUCUUUUGGUCUGUUCUUCAUGCUUCUCGUUCUGUUAUCACCAAGGCAGGAAUCCCUUUACAAAUUCAGGGUUGCAAUUGAGACUAUUCCUCCAAAUCAAGUGCUCCUGCUCCCUCAUUACAUGCUUUCAGGUUACUCACUCUGUUAUUUAUGGCUGAUUAAUUCUGCGCUCACUUUUUCUUUGUUUUAUAGAUUGAUGAAACGUGCAGCGUGAGAUAAUUAACCAUAGAUCUUUAAGGCAUUCGAAUAUAUUAGGUUCAAAGAGUCUAUUUGCUUGUGAAACUACAACGGUUCCACCUAUUUGCUUUUUUGGUCAGAGUUCUCACCACCAUGUUAUGGCAAUUGGAUUUAUAAGAGAUGGUGACGAGAAAUAUUUUGGCAGGUCAUUGGCGAUGUAUUGAAUCAAGUUUAAGAAUUUAGACAUAUUUUGAAAACUUUACAUUUGAUAGCAUGUGGAAAUGGCAAAAACUCUAUUAUUGUGUUUUGUUUUUUGGUUGUGUUGGGUGAUUGUAUUAGAUGACAAUGCAAUGAUACUCUAACAUGGUUCUUGUUUUCUGGUUGUGUUGGGUGUUGUCCCAAAUUUGUAGAUGAUUAGUUCUUUUCAACUUCUUUCUGUAAAUUUUCUUGCGUGAGCAUAUAAUCUCUGUUGUGAGAGACAUAAUUUGAUACAAAAUGUAGGAUUUCUGUUUGUUGA